UAUGGGGUGGUCGAUUAAGUCGGUAGAUUGUAAAUCUAUGAAUGAGUAGAAACUCUCUCAUAA
rnacentral:tRNA from 1 species